AAAUGUUUGUGAAAUUUUAUACUCUUGUUAUUAGGGACGAAGUAUUCAUCUAGUGCAACGUUGUAAAGAAAUCGUGACUAGAUCGAAAUACUCGUCCCUAAUAGAGAGAAUCAAUAAUCAUCAACAA